GUUCACUUUACAAUGCUUCAAAAGAUAACUUUUCCAAGUUUCUUAUAGCCCAUUGAAGUAUAUUUCAAGAUUGUCUUCAUUUUCAGUGUAGUGUGGCUUUAAAUUGGCAUCUCUGUGAGUGGAUGUACCUGUGUACACAUGAAACUAUUUCUUUGACCCCUUUAAGGAAAAGUUAGGAGAAGAAUGACUACUCCCUGAAAACAACAGUGUGCUUAUUGUCAACCAUGCCAUGGUAUUCCACUAAAGCUGAGGUGCUCUAGAUGAAAAUACAUGUUCCCACACCUGUGGUAAUUUUGGGGUGGUAUAUUCUUGAGUUGUUAUAUAAAUAGUUACAGUGCUCUAAACCUCCAACAGGAAGUAACCACUCAAUAAUGUUAAGUAUUUCUGUUUUCUCCACAGAUCUUCACACCUGUCAGAUGACAAAAGGUCAGAUCAAAUCAAAUCAAAGUGCCCGAAGGAAAUUAGUCUGGAACUGUCUGCUGCCCCUCCAGGCCUGGAGGCUUGAUGUUCAAGUGGGAAUCAAGAACAAGAUAGUUCGGCUGGCCCGGUGGCUCACACCUGCAAUCCUAGCACUCUGAGAGGCCGAGGCGGGAGGAUUGCUUGAGCUUGGGAGUUUGAGACCAGCCUGAGCAAGAAAGAGCAAGACCCCAUCUCUACUAAAAACAAACAAAAAAACAAGAUAGUCCAGAGCUUCCCAAGCUUUGUGCAACCAGUGAGUCACAGGCAUCUCCUGACCCAUGGUCUUCACAAAAGCCCAGCAUGUCCCAAGGUAGCCAUGCCUUUUGGCUGGUAACUGUGGCUCCUGGCUGGGAGCCUCUGGACAUGAACAGUUUGGCAGGGGCUUGAGCAGAAUGGAAUCAGGCACUCUUCCUGUGUGUGGCCUAGGAGAUGCUCCACUCCCUCGGUUGACUUCAGGAACCAGCUGGCAGUUAUAAAGUGUGCAUUGUGAAAUGCCUGUCAUAUGUGUUUCUUGGGCUGGUGAUCUCCCGGAUGAAGACAAAUAUGAAACAGAAAAAAGGAUGUUUGUGUGGGGGCCAGCCCGUCACUGACCCUGUCACUGUGUGCUGGCCUUUCCCACCACGGACGUUACGCUUUGCUCAGGAUCCUGCCUCUUAACUCUUCUGCCCUACCCUGCUCUCUUUCUCCUGGGCAUGCAUCUGAAUGUGGGUCCUGUUUCUCAAAACACUCAUAUUUAUCCCAUAGUGUAUAUGGGAGACAAUGUAGCAAAUAUGCUUUGUGUCUUCAAAAAUAUGGUAUUUUUUUUUGCCAUUUUCUUUUAUAAAAGGGAAGAGCGCCAUUAAGAUGUUCAAACUUGAAUUAUACAUAGAAAAUGUGAAUAUUACUCAUUAAAGUGACAACCUCUGUACCAUUUUUUUUGUCCUAAAUUACACCACUAAUCCAAAUAUUGUAAGGAAGAGCUGGUUUAUGAAAGGUGAUUAAGUUAGCAGUGAUGGAUGCUUAUGUUUUAAAUAAAAAAUGUCAGCUCCUUAAUAUAUCACAGACUCCUAAUUUAUAAAGCUGUGCCCCUUUAGCAGUCUGCCCAUCUCAUUUGUCUCCUGGGUUUUCUUUAUUUUGAGGACACAGCGCUGCUAUUAUUUUAGGGGCACAUCCUUGGGUGUGGCGGCAUUGGUGACAGAACAGGGUAGA